CCUACGGGGAGCUGCAGUGAGGAAUAUUGGUCAAUGGCCGGAAGGCUGAACCAGCCAAGCCGCGUGAAGGACGAAGGUGCCAAGCAUUGUAAACUUCUUUUGUCAAGGGACAAAAUCAGGCUAGAGAGCCUGACCGAGGGUACUUGAAGAAAAAGCAUCGGCUAACUCCGUGCCAGCGGCCGCGGUAAUACGGAGGAGGCGAGCUUGAUCGGGAUUGAUUGGGUUUAACGGGUGCGUAGGCGGACUGUUAAGUCAGCGGUAAAAUCCCGGGGCUCAACCCCGGGGAGCCGUUGAACCGGGCUGUCGUGAGAUGUCGAGAGGUAUGCGGAAUGCGCAGUGUAGCUGUGAACUGCUUAGAUAUUGCGCAGAACUCCGAUUGCGCAGGCAGCAUACCGGCGGCGAUCUGACGCGGAGGCACGAAAGCGUGGGUAUCGAACAGGAUUAGAUACCCCAGUAGUC
rnacentral:rRNA from 1 species